rnacentral:lncRNA from 1 species
CUUGUGGUGACCUGGGAAUCAAUGUGUGAGGUGGUGCUAUGUAGCAGGAACCCCUCUUGCUUUGCAAAUAGUUUUUUGUUUGUUUUCCUUUUUGCCCAAUAGAGCCCUGCUCUACUGACCCUUCAAUGUGCCCGUGUGCCUAAAUAUUCCUGGUCGUGUGAAAAGAACCCAGGUAUUAGCUGAACUAAGGAGCACAAUUCUGCAACAUUUUGGCACCCAAACACGGGGCUUGAGAAAUGAAUGCAAUUGGAGAAACUGGUUGUUUUACCAGGCGUUGAUUGGAAAUGUGUGCUUCCCUUUAAGCAGUCAAGCUCAACUUGCAGAACUGAUGGGAACCCCUUGGGAAAACUGGCCUCAAAUGUUUGUCUACACAGUCCACAUACAGGGUUCUUAACCUGCGGAAACACUUUCUGAAAAUGUCAGAACUCUUGAAAACAUGGAUGAGGAAAAGCAUAAGUACUGCUUUAUGCUUUUCUUAUGAAUUUUAAAAGAUGUAAUUUAAAGAUUGAAACUCCCACAACUUUGGCAGACCAACUCCUCAGAAAACAUUAUUCUUUGACAUCAAUAUGUUUUGCACAAAAUUGAAUGGCAAGUGAAAGGCAUCAAAUGGAGCUGUCAUUUAAAUGUGCUUGCCAACUAGCUUGUUUAUCAAAACAUUCCAGACCCUUUCAAAUUCUCAUUUACAUUGUUUCUUGUUUACCACACCCAUAAAUUUGUAUUACCAGCAUAUUUAACUAUCCGGCUAUUUUGGAGAUUGAAAAAAGAAGACCUGAUUUAUCAUGUGCAAUAUCUCACACAUCUGUCAUUUCUAUUCUACCGCAAUUCGAUGGAGUCUUGUUCUGUGGUCCAGGCUAGAGGGCAGUGGCAUGAUCUCGGCUCACUACAAGCUCUGCCUCCCGGGUUCACGCCAUUCUCCUGCCUCAGCCUCCUGAGUAGCUGGGACUACAGGCGCCCGCCACCACGCCUGGCUAAUUUUUUGUAUAUUUACUAGAGAUGGCUAGUGUUAGCCAAGAUGGUCUCGAUCUCCUGACCUCGUGAUCUGCCCACCUCAGCCUGCCAAAGUGCUGGGAUUACUGGCGUGAGCCACCGUGCCUGGCCAGCAUCCUCUAAUUAUUAUUCAUAGUUUGUGAAUUUAGGCCUACGUGAAUAAUAAUAUAAUAUUUACUAUGAUGUUACUAUCUACCAACCUUAUUUUUCUUUUCUAUAAAAUAGGAGCCAAAAUAAUAUUUAUGUCAUACCUUAUGAAGUUAAAAUAAAAUAUAACGAAUGAGGGGCUUAACAA